rnacentral:rRNA from 1 species
AUUGAACGCUGGCGGCAUGCUUUACACAUGCAAGUCGAACGGUAACAGGCCGCAAGGUGUUGACGAGUGGCGAACGGGUGAGUAAUGCAUCGGAACGUGCCCAGUCGUGGGGGAUAACUACUCGAAAGAGUAGCUAAUACCGCAUACGAUCUAUGGAUGAAAGCGGGGGACCGUAAGGCCUCGCGCGAUUGGAGCGGCCGAUGUCAGAUUAGGUAGUUGGUGGGGUAAAGGCUCACCAAGCCAACGAUCUGUAGCUGGUCUGAGAGGACGACCAGCCACACUGGGACUGAGACACGGCCCAGACUCCUACGGGAGGCAGCAGUGGGGAAUUUUGGACAAUGGGCGCAAGCCUGAUCCAGCAAUGCCGCGUGCAGGAAGAAGGCCUUCGGGUUGUAAACUGCUUUUGUACGGAACGAAACGGCUCUGGUUAAUACCCGGGGCUAAUGACGGUACCGUAAGAAUAAGCACCGGCUAACUACGUG